rnacentral:snoRNA from 2 species
ACUGUGCCUAUGAUGAAUGUUGAACCUGUGUCAGAAUUUGAACCACUGGGCAUGUAAAUCUCACUAGGUUUUUUCUGAGGCAUGUU